GGGCUUCUGCUCUUCUCGUGUGUGGCCUCUUUUUCCACUGGCCUAUAAUUUCACCGAGGGGGCUGGCUCUGUCGGGGCCCUGGUCCCGGUAUCCGGCUCCCACCUGGACAUCCAGGCUUUCGGGGAAACUAGCGCUGCCACGGUUGCUGCGGUUCCCGC
rnacentral:misc_RNA from 1 species